AUAAACAUUUACAAUACGUACACAAAUACACAAUACCAUGAUGUUACGUGCUUCUGCGUGGCAAAACUUGAAGCCUUCUCAAAAGGCACUACCAUUUGACCAAGUUUUUUCCACUGAUAGCAAUGGCAAUGGCCAGCUCAUGCCACGCCCAUGGCCCUUGAGCCCUGUUAUGGGUUCUCUUAGCUACAGUCAUGAUGAGCUGGAUAUCCUUAAUCACUCUGUCUGGCUGCUUUUUCUUGUGCGGUGUUAUGUAUGUUCAGCAUUUUUAAGGGACACUCUCAGCAUCCCUAUUACCCAGGUUACACAGUGGCGCGAUAUGGGUGACAUCUGACCCAUUUCGGUAAAGGCUUUUCAGCCGGCUUUUGUGCACUGAACAAAGAAAACAAAUGUGCCAAAGAUGCAGUUUAAUCAGCUUCUUCAUGCACUUUAUCAACAGCAUUACUGUAUGUCAGGAAAAUGUGGAAAAGCUUCACACUGAGGCUGCAUUGUUGUGGAAAUUCCGGUUUGUCUGGGUGAGAUGAAGAAAUAAAGUAUCUGAUUCAGACACGUGUCUUAAAGAAUCUGUAUUAUCUUAGUACUAAGAGAAAAAAAGAAUUCAAAGAGUGCAUUUCGCCAAGCAUCUCUCUCCCUCGUCUUCUUGCUUUCAGACUCACAUCAUAACAGUCUCUUUAUUAUACCUUUAUUUGAGAGGGGGGAAGUAACCCCCCUCCCAAAUACAAAGCAUAGGAAAAACAUAGAUUACACUCAGAAUCCUAAUAAAUCAACCCACAAAGCAUCUUGCUGUCUUGAUGUUUUGCAGAGCAUAGGAGACAGUUUUAUUGUAGCUAUCACCUCGCCUACUCCCCUCUGACGAAGGAGAAGUUGUGCUGAUCACAUUUCGAAGGACAGAUGUUAGAAGGCUUCCAUUCGUGAUUUCAAAUUGCAAAAACAUCUCAUGGUAGUCUUUUUUGAGUAAUUUUUCCAUUAAAUUUCUCUCCCUUGAUCAUAAAAAGUCAGAAAAAAAUAUAACAUCUAACAUAUCACCCUUCACAGUUGAAGAUACAUCAUCAUAAUGUGUUUCUUAGAAAAGCCUCAUUCUGAUAUUAAAACAAACUAUUUGUUAAUAGAAUUAGAUCGUGUUCCAUAUUUGUUUUUCACCGCUCAGGGGUCUAUUGUGCCCUGUAAGAAUGGCCAUGUCUUUGUUCACUCUUCAGUCACUCACCAAUGACCAGGGUGAAAUUCUGUGAAACAGACGACAGGUUUGAUGUAUGAACAGCACAAUGUCAUCUGGUGGGCUUCUUUAUUUGAGAUGAGUUGGUGACUUGGCACAUCACAUGUUAGAAAGGCGCUUAUUUCGGCCCUUCCCUAACCGUCAGGUUUUGGUUGGUCGUGUCAUUUGGGCUUGGCAGCUUCCUGCAGUGGAUGGCAUGGAGCCAAGUGAUCCUUUCUCCAACCUUCACUGUGGUGCGGGUGGUCAGUGAAACCUGGAACGGGCCAUGAGGUCCCUGUUGACCACAGUCGCCUGGUUGGAACUGGUGACGCAUAACUGCUGCUAACUUCGGUUGGCGUCAGCUACCACUUUUCUGAUUCUGACAAGUUUAAAAGAUAUUACCCCAAUAGGGCAGUGUUCACACAAUUUUGUGGAAGUGUCCUGGGUGCAAGAUUCCCAUGUUUGGACGAGCUUCAAACCAGAUUUCAAAAGGAGAUAGACUAGUCUGAGUUUACUUUCUCUGCCUCACGCACAUUACAUUAGUGCUAACGGCAGUGCUUUGUCCAUGGUGUUUUUUUUUUCCCCUUAGAACAUUGAGCACAUUUUUGAGUGUGCCAUUUUUAACUUUCCACAAUGAGUUCUCAAGUUAAUGCCCAAAUAAUGGCUAAGCUAACUGAUUGCUUCAUUAGCAAAAUGUGACUCAUUGUCGCUGGACAACCUAGCUCGGAUACUCCAACAUGGGAUAAUUUCAGCGGUGGUGACAACGCUAGCAGUUUGUUUUAGAAGCUCGGCCCUUUUGGAUCAUAUCUACUAGAACUAGAUAGUGCCUGUAUUCCUUUCCUUCUGAGGGGUCAAGUUCAAUAAAAUCUAUGAUCACUAGGGUUAGGCAUUGUUUGAAUUUGAGCGAUUCCAGUCCCGAUUCCGGUUCCUCAUUUCGAUUCCGAUUCUUUUAGGGGGCUGGGUCAAAAAAAGUUUGUAUGGUUUAAAUAAAGGGAGUCCAAAUUAUGAACAUCCAUUUUCUUAGAAGCCCGCAGCAUAAACUGAAAUGAACAUUUUACUCGGGGUUCUUUAUCAUCAGUAUCAAUAUAGAACCUAUGAACUAAAAGGUAAUGUGUGUGGAACUAACCCAAUUGACUUAAUAUUCAUUAACAUAGUUAAGACACACUUUUGUUUGGAAGGACAUCUUCAUGUGCGUUCUUCUUCGCAGUGAUGUGCGGUGAGGUUCAUGAUUGGCGAGGGACUGACACCGUCACGUGAUUGGAGCUCGAUGAAGCUCAACUCAACACUACCACAUGCUGGUUGUGGCACCGUAAAUACCAGACUCCACUGUGCACUUUUAGUGGCUUUUCUGGUCGAUAAGAAAGACUAAAUGUCACACACUUUCAUUAAAUAUAUUAGACAGUCUUUUAAACGUCAGUAAGUGCAGUACAUGUGUGAUAAAAUGUAUAUUAUUGGCGAUGUAAUGAGGAAACACCAAUGUCUCUUGUGUGAAGCCACGGACCAAUCACAGCCUGCCUGAAUGGAUGUGUGCGUGGUCUCUUGAAGCAUCGUGCGAGCGAAGACUCAACGUGACUCGUCGUUGCGCUUCCUAUGCAUUUCAACAGGAAAUGACAAUUCAGCUAUUUUAAUGAUGAACUCAUUGAAAUUAUUGGAUUGAAAAAGAAAAUCGAUGUAAAGCACGGACCAUAGAAAUAAAAUGGAACAAUUUAAUGUAAUCAUAAGGUUUUAUUUACUAUUCACAUGCAGUGGAAAGGAAAUACCACCAGCUCUGCCUCACUUGCCUACCCUGACGUCACCGCUUUGUUGGUUUUCACCUCUUCUUCGUUGGUUUUCACCACUUUCUUCUUCGGGGUGGGCGGACUGUAGGCAUCAAAAUUGGGACCCGAAAUUUUUAAAUUUGAACGAUUCCGGCAGAACCGGAAUGUUAGUCACGGUUCCAAUCGGUUCUUGAUUCUCGAUGCCCAACCCUAAUUAUCACAUGUUCAAAUUGUCUGGACAGAGGAGGACUGGCUGCUGGUGUGAGCUGUGUUGUCCUUCCUGUAUUGUGAGUUGCACAUGUAACACAGGUCUGUCAAUUUUUUUGAGCAUAUGUAGAAAACCCAGCAUGCACGAAUAAUUUCUAACAUCAACAUAUGUUAACGUUCCAUAGUGAGGAAAGAAAUGUUUGGGUAGACAGAUUAUUGUUUGGCCAAUAUCAGACACCACUGGAGGGACUUUAAGUCAACAGAUGCGGGACCAUGUGAAAUGUCAGGAGGUAUAGCAAAUAGAAGCUCAAAGCAGUGGCCUGAUGGUCUGCGUGUUUAGCCGCAGCAUCUGCUCUCGCAUUUCCUUUUGACACUGGGUCUGAAGAGUCUGUGUAAGAUGCGCAUGUGCACAGAGCAAUGGCGAAAGGGAGAAAUAUAUAGUAGCUUCUAAAAGGGGAGAUGAUGAUGAGAAGAUGGGCUUGCCAUUUGAUUUGAGGAAAUCACGAUGACAUCACAGUGUGUCAAAAUCAUGCAUAACGCCGAAUGCAUACAGUACCUUGAGUCAAUGUAAAUGGGAACCGAUUUGUCUGCUGCUAGUCUACACACCUCUGUGAGUACAAUCAGUUCAACUGCCUGUACAGACAUGGAGCCAUCCACAAACAAUACAAAGUCAGGAUUGAACAAAGGUUUGGCAGGACGACGAGAGCACUGGAGAUAAUGUUCAGCCAUGCAGUCAUACGGUUUGUCAUCCUUGGGAAGAGAAAGUAGAUACUCAAGCAAGAUGGUGGCCUGAGCUGUUGCAACAGCCCGAGCAGUCGCAGCAACCUGGUGCUUGUGAAGUUGCAACAAAGUUAGGAGUAGUUUUAACAGUUUGUUUUGCUUAUUUGUGUGUUUUUACCUCUAUUCUCUUGAGUGGAAUAGCAGUAGCACAUUUGCAGUACAGCAGGUCUGACCUGCUUGCAGCUUGCGACAGCCAUUCAUUCGGCGAAGGCAACUUGGACUUCAUUCGGCCGGCGAGCCGCACAACAGCAGACCUCUCGUUCAAGAUCACCGUGCUGAAGUGGCGCAGAAAAUGGCACCAUCGAAAACAUAAACCUAACCCUAACCCUAACCCAAUGGACUUAAAGAAAUGCUAAGCCCUCAAACCGGGCCUUCCAUGUCUCUCCCUCGCCAACUCCCGGACACUAAACAACAAGAUGGAUGAGCUUCAAUUUUGGAUUACCACUCGCCGGCUCGAUUACUGUGUGAUGGUAAUAACAAAGACUUGGCUGGACUCUUUCACCCCAGACUCCGCUACUGAGCUAGCAGGGCACACUAGCUUUGGAGCAGAUCGAACCACCGGAUCUGGUAAGACUAUGUGUGUGUAUGUGAAUAUUAGAUGGUGCACUAACGUCACAAUUAAGACAUUUGCUGCUGUCUGGACAUCGGAUCAUGGAUCAUUCAGAUCACCUCUCUGCCCUUGAUCCCUGCUUAUAAACCUAGAAUCCGUAGACACAACCAUCUGUAAAAACAGUUCAAGUGUGGACUGAGGAUGGCACAGCAUUCCUGGAGGACUAUUUUGAAACGACAGACUGGGACAUAUUUGCAGACGAGACAGACCUGGAAUCGCACACAUCCGUUGUGCGUUCCUACAUCAACUUUGGACAGAGAGUGUGACCUCAACAAAGACCAUCAAAGAAGUUCCAGAACCAGAAACUGAAGCUUAACAGCGAGGUGCGGAUACUGCUCUGAGCAUGGGAUGAUGCCUUUAAGUCAUGAGACUGGAAGGCCUACAAAGAGGCACGCUGGUCCCUGCAAAGAGCCAUAAAAAAAGCCAAACAGAAACACAAACAGCGAACAGAGGGACACUUUAACAGUGACAACACGAGUUUCUUGGAGCUGAUUGGUGGGCGGAGUCUCCUACCUCGCACCUGCCAGCCAUCAUUAGUGGGUACUUCUACUCCUGUGCUUUAGUAAGUACUACUGUGUUUUCUGUUCUACUUAUUUUCUCUGCCUUGUGUUGGUGUUUGAGUUUUUGUUUUUCCUUCUAUUAUUGCAACUUCUGUAAUACCUACACCCCACCUCUUGUUUACAAGUAAAUACAAUAUAAUGAACAAGAACUGUGCAAUAUUAUCUGGCAAAACUGUGCAAUACACAUAUGUAAAGAAUCACAUAACUACCAUAUCAUAUGGCAUGUUAACAAUGUUAACAAUUGUUUUCACUCUAAAUAAGUGAAAUUUUGAUAAUUGUGUGCUUAUUUCUUUUUUACCUCAACGUUGCAAAUUGUGAGGUGCCUAACUGAUUAUCAUUGUUUCUGUGGUAAUGACAGUAGAGUUCUAAUCUAUUCUAGAGAGAUGGGCCUAAAGAUGGUGCAAAGUUUAACAUUUGACACGCCCAGAAGUGCUGUUUAGUAUUGCCCAAAGUGAGCUGCGGACACAUGAGAAAGCUUUUGGUCAUCCAUAAUGUGAGAAACCUCAUGCGGCACUUGGAAGACCACAUCAGAGAAACCCACAAAGUCAGAAGAAGCGCUUUCUCUGCUCCACCAACUGCACGAGGUCUGUCCAUUUUUGCAGAGAAAUAUGCUUCAGGCCAAAGAUGGUCCCCAUGUUUUUGGAGGAGGACUGUCAUACAGCCUGAACAUUCACCAACGGUCUAUGUGAAUGGUUUGGUGGAAUCAGGGUAGUGUUGCACUUGAAUGAGUUCAAGAAACGAAAGUUCAUGAACUCGUUCAUGUUUUGGACGAACAUGAACUGAACUCUGUUUAUUUCUGCCUGAUGUACAUUAUUUAGAACGCACCCAUUCUGGCCUCUGUGAACAGUUUUUGAACGGCAGUUCAGUUUCAUUCAUGUUGACAUUAGUGGUGGGCGUAUCGGUCCAAAUAGCAAUAGUAUGGAUACGAAGUCAGAAUCGGUAUCAGAUCGACACAGUGUGAUGAGAUCGAUACAGUAUUUUCAGUUUCACUCAAAUCGACAGCCUGGUCGGCGGACUCACCACUUCUGAGCUUCUCAGCAUGGCAAAGGCACACUUUGUUCUCCUUCCCCUCUUGUGUUUCAAUGUUGUGCCAUCAUGUGACACACACGGUGCCUUUCUUCCUCUCUGGCAUUAUACUUUAAAAAUAAUUGGUUUUACAUUUUUUAUAUUUGUUGUUUAUUUUAAUUUAUUUUCAGGUGAUCCCUUUGUGCACUUUGUUUAUUUAUGAAAA